rnacentral:rRNA from 1 species
GACGAACGCUGGCGGCGUGCCUAAUACAUGCAAGUCGAGCGCAGGAAACUGACGGAACUCUUCGGAGGGAAGGCAGUGGAAUGAGCGGCGGACGGGUGAGUAACACGUAAGGAACCUGCCUCAAGGAUUGGGAUAACUCCGAGAAAUCGGAGCUAAUACCGGAUAGUUCAUCGGACCGCAUGGUCCGCUGAUGAAAGGCGCUUCGGCGUCACCUUGAGAUGGCCUUGCGGUGCAUUAGCUAGUUGGUGGGGUAACGGCCCACCAAGGCGACGAUGCAUAGCCGACCUGAGAGGGUGAGCGGCCACACUGGGACUGAGACACGGCCCAGACUCCUACGGGAGGCAGCAGGAGGGAAUCUUCCACAAUGGACGAAAGUCUGAUGGAGCAACGCCGCGUGAGUGAUGAAGGUUUUCGGAUCGUAAAACUCUGUUGUAAGGGAAGAACACGUACGAGAGGGAAUGCUCGUACCUUGACGGUACCUUACGAGAAAGCCACGGCUAACUACGUGCCAGCCGCCGCCGUAACAC